UACGUAGGGUGCGAGCGUUGUCCGGAAUUAUUGGGCGUAAAGAGCUCGUAGGCGGCUUGUCGCGUCGGCUGUGAAAACCCGGGGCUCAACCCCGGGCCUGCAGUCGAUACGGGCAGACUAGAGUGCGGUAGGGGAGACUGGAAUUCCUGGUGUAGCGGUGGAAUGCGCAGAUAUCAGGAGGAACACCGGUGGCGAAGGCGGGUCUCUGGGCAGUAACUGACGCUGAGGAGCGAAAGCGUGGGGAGCGAACAGG
rnacentral:rRNA from 1 species